ensembl:lncRNA
AUGCGGAGAAUAAGAAGGCAAGAUUUGGCCACAGUUAAGGCGAAGAGAGGAGGGAAGCGGGAGCACCUUGGACGGGGCGCCUCGGCCCUGUCCGCCGCGGCGGCGGGGGCUGAGGGGCUGAAGAGGAGAUGCCGAGGGAGCCAAGAGCUCUCCUUCUCCCUCCUAGCGGCAGAGCGAGCGACAAACUUGCCCCACGCCACACCAGGUUACACAGAAACUUUGCUUUCCCAUGAGCUCCGGACAGCAAAAUGCUGCUUGAGGAGACCGCGAGCCGCUUUCCGGGCUGCUGCUAUAAUUAAGUUAGGUGUGGCGAUCCCAGAUCCGAGGGAGAAGGAAAUGAUUGAUACCGCCAGAACCCCCUUCCCUUACGCAGCCCCGAGCAGCGCCCGGCGCAGGCUGACAAACUGCUGCUCUGUCCAGAGAUCACACAGAGGGUCUGAUACUUUUUAUUUUCUUGCUUGCACCACGGGAGAACUUUCGUCUGAGAAAGGAACAAAAGAAGCCAGAAACAUGACAGAUUUCAUCAAGAGAGCUGUUCGCAGAUUAAAAGUAGGUCUGAUUUUAUUUUUUGUUUUGUUUUGCUGUGCUAGACUUCACUUCUCAAACUACAGAAGAGUGAAGUGA